GACGAACGCUGGCGGCGUGCUUAACACAUGCAAGUCGAACGGAAAGGCCCUGCUUUUGUGGGGUGCUCGAGUGGCGAACGGGUGAGUAACACGUGAGUAACCUGCCCUUGACUUUGGGAUAACUUCAGGAAACUGGGGCUAAUACCGGAUAGGAGCUCCUGCUGCAUGGUGGGGGUUGGAAAGUUUCGGCGGUUGGGGAUGGACUCGCGGCUUAUCAGCUUGUUGGUGGGGUAGUGGCUUACCAAGGCUUUGACGGGUAGCCGGCCUGAGAGGGUGACCGGCCACAAUGGGACUGAGAUACGGCCCAGACUCCAACGGGAGGGAGCAGUGGGGAAUAUUGCACAAUGGGCGGAAGCAUGAUGAAGAAACGCCGCGUGCGGGAUGACGGCCUUCGGGUUGUAAACCGCUUUCGCCUGUGACGAAGCGUGAGUGACGGUAAUGGGUAAAGAAGCACCGGCUAACUACGUG
rnacentral:rRNA from 1 species